UUUUAUGGAGAGUUUGAUCCUGGCUCAGGAUGAACGCUGGCGGCGUGCCUAAUACAUGCAAGUCGAGCGAACGGACGAGAAGCUUGCUUCUCUGAUGUUAGCGGCGGACGGGUGAGUAACACGUGGAUAACCUACCUAUAAGACUGGGAUAACUUCGGGAAACCGGAGCUAAUACCGGAUAAUAUUUUGAACCGCAUGGUUCAAAAGUGAAAGACGGUCUUGCUGUCACUUAUAGAUGGAUCCGCGCUGCAUUAGCUAGUUGGUAAGGUAACGGCUUACCAAGGCAACGAUGCAUAGCCGACCUGAGAGGGUGAUCGGCCACACUGGAACUGAGACACGGUCCAGACUCCUACGGGAGGCAGCAGUAGGGAAUCUUCCGCAAUGGGCGAAAGCCUGACGGAGCAACGCCGCGUGAGUGAUGAAGGUCUUCGGAUCGUAAAACUCUGUUAUUAGGGAAGAACAUAUGUGUAAGUAACUGUGCACAUCUUGACGGUACCUAAUCAGAAAGCCACGGCUAACUACGUGCCAGCAGCCGCGGUAAUACGU
rnacentral:rRNA from 1 species